rnacentral:rRNA from 1 species
AACGAACGCUGGCGGCAGGCUUAACACAUGCAAGUCGAACGCCCCGCAAGGGGAGUGGCAGACGGGUGAGUAACGCGUGGGAAUCUACCUAGUUCUACGGAACAACAGUUGGAAACGAGGGCUAAUACCGUAUACGCGCUACGGGGGAAAGGUUUAUCGGGAUUAGAUGAGCCCGCGUACGAUUAGCGAGUUGGUGGGGUAAUGGGCUACCAAGGCGACGAUCUUUAGCUGGUCUGAGAGGAUGAUCAGUCACACUGGGACUGAGACACGGCCCAGACUCCUACGGGAGGGAGCAGUGGGGAAUAUUGGACAAUGGGCGCAAGCCUGAUCCAGCCAUGCCGCGUGAGUGAUGAAGGCCUUAGGGUUGUAAAGCUCUUUCACCGAUGAAGAUAAUGACGGUAGUCGGAGAAGAAGCCCCGGCUAACUUCGUGCCAGCCGCCGCAGUAAAAC